GGUUUUUGUCUUUGGUUAUCUAGCUGUAUGAGUGUAUGUGAUAUCAUAAAGCUAGAGAACCGAAUGUAAAAAC
ensembl:miRNA